AUGUACGCUGGCGGCGUGCCUAAUACAUGCAAGUCGAGCGAACAGACGAGGAGCUUGCUCCUCUGACGUUAGCGGCGGACGGGUGAGUAACACGUGGAUAACCUACCUAUAAGACUGGGAUAACUUUGGGAAACCGGAGCUAAUACCGGAUAAUAUAUUGAACCGCAUGGUUCAAUAGUGAAAGACGGUUUUGCUGUCACUUAUAGAUGGAUCCGCGCCGCAUUAGCUAGUUGGUAAGGUAACGGCUUACCAAGGCGACGAUGCGUAGCCGACCUGAGAGGGUGAUCGGCCACACUGGAACUGAGACACGGUCCAGACUCCUACGGGAGGCAGCAGUAGGGAAUCUUCCGCAAUGGGCGAAAGCCUGACGGAGCAACGCCGCGUGAGUGAUGAAGGUCUUCGGAUCGUAAAACUCUGUUAUUAGGGAAGAACAAAUGUGUAAGUAACUAUGCACGUCUUGACGGUACCUAAUCAGAAAGCCACGGCUAACUACGUG
rnacentral:rRNA from 1 species